AAAGUUGAGAAACAUUCGGAUGUCCCCAAAUUCCUAAACUAGGAAACCACUGGAGAGGCUGGAGAAUCAUCAUGGAUGUCUUGAAAAUACAAGUCUCGGAUUGGCAGGCUUUUAACUUAUUCCGACCAUAAAACCCACUGGGAUAUGAAAAGGCUGCCUGACUGACAGGUCACAUUUGAAAAGACUUCUACAAAGGAUCCGCCUGCUGACAGUGAAGCUCCUCUGGAUGUGUCCUCUCUUCUCGUUCCACUCGGUGCAUUCAGAGAAUUGAUAUGUCCGUCAGGAUGGUGAACUUCAAUCGAUUUCCGGUUCACUGGUUGGAGGAAGGAACAGCAACAAAUGUAUGGC